rnacentral:rRNA from 1 species
AGUGAACGCUGGCGGUAGGCCUAACACAUGCAAGUCGAACGGCAGCACAGUAAGAGCUUGCUCUUACGGGUGGCGAGUGGCGGACGGGUGAGGAAUGCAUCGGAAUCUACUCUGUCGUGGGGGAUAACGUUGGGAAACUUACGCUAAUACCGCAUACGACCUACGGGUGAAAGCAGGGGAUCUUCGGACCUUGCGCGAUUGAAUGAGCCGAUGCCCGAUUAGCUAGUUGGCGGGGUAAGAGCCCACCAAGGCGACGAUCGGUAGCUGGUCUGAGAGGAUGAUCAGCCACACUGGAACUGAGACACGGUCCAGACUCCUACGGGAGGCAGCAGUGGGGAAUAUUGGACAAUGGGCGCAAGCCUGAUCCAGCCAUACCGCGUGGGUGAAGAAGGCCUUCGGGUUGUAAAGCCCUUUUGUUGGGAAAGAAAAGCAGUCGGUUAAUACCCGAUUGUUCUGACGGUACCCAAAGAAUAAGCACCGGCAA